rnacentral:rRNA from 1 species
GGGCGUAAAGCGUGCGUAGGCGGUCUUUUUUUAAGUCGGAUGUGAAAUCCCCGAGCUUAACUUGGGAAUUGCAUUCGAUACUGGGAAGCUAGAGUAUGGGAGAGGAUGGUAGAAUUCCAGGUGUAGCGGUGAAAUGCGUAGAGAUCUGGAGGAAUACCGAUGGCGAAGGCAGCCAUCUGGCCUAAUACUGACGCUGAGGUACGAAAGCAUGGGGAGCAAACAGGAUUAGAUACCCUGGUAGUCCAUGCCGUAAACGAUGUCUACUAGCCGUUGGGGCCUUUGAGGCUUUAGUGGCGCAGCUAACGCGAUAAGUAGACCGCCUGGGGAGUACGGUCGCAAGACUAAAACUCAAAUGAAUUGACGGGGGCCCGCACAAGCGGUGGAGCAUGUGGUUUAAUUCGAUGCAACGCGAAGAACCUUACCUGGCCUUGACAUACUAGAAACUUUCCAGAGAUGGAUUGGUGCCUUCGGGAAUCUAGAUACAGGUGCUGCAUGGCUGUCGUCAGCUCGUGUCGUGAGAUGUUGGGUUAAGUCCCGCAACGAGCGCAACCCUUUUCCUUACUUGCCAGCAUUUCGGAUGGGAACUUUAAGGAUACUGCCAGUGACAAACUGGAGGAAGGCGGGGACGACGUCAAGUCAUCAUGGCCCUUACGGCCAGGGCUACACACGUGCUACAAUGGUCGGUACAAAGGGUUGCUACCUAGCGAUAGGAUGCUAAUCUCAAAAAGCCGAUCGUAGUCCGGAUUGGAGUCUGCAACUCGACUCCAUGAAGUCGAAUCGCUAGUAAUCGCGAUC